rnacentral:rRNA from 1 species
UACGUAGGUGGCAAGCGUUGUCCGGAAUUACUGGGCGUAAAGCGUGCGCAGGCGGUUUUGUAAGUCUGUCGUGAAAUCCCCGGGCUCAACCUGGGAAUUGCGAUGGAGACUGCAAGGCUAGAAUCUGGCAGAGGGGGGUAGAAUCCACGUGUGAGCAGUGAAAUGCGUAGAGAUCGGAAGGAACGCCGGUGGCGAAAGCGACGGACUGGGCACCUCCUGACGCUGAGGCGCGAAAGCCAGGGGAGCAAACGGG